AUCCCAGUUCGGAUUGCAGGCUGCAACCCGCCUGCAUGAAGUUGGAAUCACUAGUAAUCGCGGAUCAGCAUGCCGCGGUGAAUGCGUUCUCGGGCCUUGUACACACCGCCCGUCACACCAUGAGAGUCGGGAACACCCGAAGUCCGUAGCCUAACCGCAAGGGGGGCGCGGCCGAAGAUGGGCUCGAUAAUUGGGGUGAAGUCGUAACAAGGUAAC
rnacentral:rRNA from 1 species